UCGGAGACGCAGGACGGAUGGAUUAGCCUGUGAGAAAGUGAAUGAAUGAGGUCGUGCGAGAGGUGGGCGGGGUCUACAGAGAGAGGAGGGGCGUGUCCUCGGAGCUAUCCCUGAGAGAAAACGCUGACUGUCGAAUCAAGAGAUGACAACGAUGACGUCCUGUGUGAUCUUUAAUGCGGCGAUUCCCACAGGAGCAGCGCUGAUGUCGGCCAUGUUUGGUGCAGGAGCGACGACUCGCAGGCUACAAGCUCGAGGUCAAAGGUCACCGGAGAGACGCCGCGAAAAAGACAACGUCCAGAAAACUUCAACGUUUCACUUCAACAAACUUCAGGACAAGUUUGAGUUUGGAAAGAAAAAUUAAGCCUGAC